AAGUCGUAACAAGGUCUCCGUAGGUGAACCUGCGGAGGGAUCAUUAACAAAUAAUUUCAUUUUAUUAAUUUAUAUUUCUCGUAAAAAAAGGAAAAAUUUUAUAAAAUAAAAUAAACACAUCGUGAACUAUAUGACUGACUGAAAUGAAAAAAUUCAUUUUUUUUUGUUUCGGCUUUUUUUAUAUUUAAUUAACGAAUUUCACUUAAUUUAUUUUCUUUUUUUAACUAAGAAGAAAAAAAAAAUUAAUUUUCAAAAAAAUUAAAAAAAACAAGAAUUUCUUAUUUUUUUUGAGUUUUGCGAUUUUUAAUUUUUUUUUUUAAUUGGAAAAAUUCUAUUUUUUCAAAUCAAAAAAAAAUUUAAAAGCACAACUCUUAGCAACGGAUAUCUUGGUUCUC
rnacentral:misc_RNA from 1 species